CGGAGAGAAAAUCGUCAGCCCAAUACAAGUAAUGAACAUGGAUGCAUCGGCGGUACCUAAAAGCAUCUGAACUUCCGGAGCAUACUGACUGCCUGUCACCCCCUUCCACACCUUGCAUCCCGACAGACUCCAUCAUCCGGAUCCUGCACGAACACACGCAGAAUCCGAAUUAGCAAGGACAAGCACACAUAUAGUGACCAUAAUCAAACUGCAAAGCUACCAUGCCCUGCUGCUACUACUAAAUCUACUAGUAAUACUGAAGUGAUCAUGAUGAAUUGUGCUGAGCUGGGCUGAUGAGACGAUCAAGAUUCAACAACUGGGCGAGCAGGCAAAGGAGUCGAUCUGCUGCAUCAGGUCCUGCACCUCCUCCGCGCCGAACCCCCACGGCUCCAUGUCCCCCGCGGCGGCCACGAGGUCCUCCACAUCAACGUCUAUCUCCGCCUGCCCCUCCUCGAGCAGCUCGUACCAUAUCAUGUCCGUCGUGACGCCGCCCGCGCCCGCGCCCUGGGUCGGCGCGGCUGCUUCCUCGACGACCCCGGCCGCGAGUGCCAGCUCCUCGAAGGUGAACCCGUCCUCCGCCGGUGGCGGCGACGGGAUGACGUCGAGCAGCCGCCGCUUCUUUUUGCCGUCGACAGCGGGGGCCGGAGCCGCCGCGGUGAGGCCGUUGCGGCGCGCCAGGUUGGCCAGGAAUGCAGGGUUCCUGACGGCGCGCGCGAGGAAGGCCUUGCACUGCUCCUGCCGCCGCUCCGUGCCCUGCACGCGGCGCUCCAUGUCGAGCAGUGUCGCGCGCGCCUCCUCCUGCUGCCGCUUGAGCCCGGCCAGCUCCCGCUUCAGCGCCUCCCGGUCCCGCCGCAGCUGCUCCAGCUCCCCCUCCACGGGGCCGAAGCCGCCGGCGCCCUCCGCGCACGACGACGGCGACAAGGCCGCAGCGGGACGGCGGGCGGUGUCGGCGCCGCGGCGGCGUCGAAUGCCGGCCAGGAGGUGGCGCUGCCCGCCGAGGAAGCCCGUGUUGGCAAAUUCCCACCUGUCCGGGUUCACCUUACGGAAUCCCUGCAAUGAUCACACCACAUUCAUCAGCAAAGGAAAGAAAACAGCGAUCGACAAAGAGGUCCAUGGAACCACCGCAGGCGCACUUACGUAGGUGUUGAGCUGCCGGAGGAAGCUGGAGAAGUUGGCGUGCUUGAAGUGGCGCGGGAGGAGGCGGGCGGCGAAGGCGUGGGGGUCCCAGACCACGAAGCUGUUCCGCGCCGCGCCCCACGACACCACCGCGUCCGUUGCCGGGUCCUCCACCAUGUCGAACGUCUUGGCCAGGAACGGCGCCACCGCCGCGGCCGC
rnacentral:lncRNA from 1 species